GUGGGGAAUAUUGGGCAAUGGGCGCAAGCCUGACCCAGCAACGCCGCGUGAGGGAAGAAGGUUUUCGGAUUGUAAACCUCUGUCGCAGGGGACGAGGAGAAGACGGUACCCUGUGAGGAAGCCCCGGCUAACUACGUGCCAGCAGCCGCGGUAAUACGUAGGGGGCGAGCGUUGUCCGGAAUGACUGGGCGUAAAGGGCGCGUAGGUGGUCAGGUAAGUUUGGAGUGAAAGUCCUAUUUUCAAGGUAGGAACUGCUUUGAAAACUGCCUGACUGGAGUGAUGGAGAGGAUAGCGGAAUUCCCGGUGUAGCGGUGAAAUGCGUAGAGAUCGGGAGGAACACCAGUGGCGAAGGCGGCUAUCUGGACAUAGACUGACACUGAGGCGCGAAAGCGUGGGUAGCAAACAGGA
rnacentral:rRNA from 1 species